CCCUUAGAUGUUCUGGGCCGCACGCGCGCUACACUGAUGCAUUCAACGAGUUUCUUCCUGGUCCGAGAGGAAUGGGUAGCCUUUUGAAAGUGCAUCGUGACGGGGAUAGAUUAUUGCAAUUAUUAAUCUUCAACGAGGAAUGCCUAGUAGGCGCAAGUCAUCAGCUUGCGUCGAUUACGUCCCUGCCCUUUGUACACACCGCCCGUCGCUCCUACCGAUUGGGUGUGCUGGUGAAAUGUUCGGAUCGGCCGUUUGUCGCGGUUUCCGCGUCAUGUGGCUGAGAAGUUCAUUAAACCCUCCCACCUAGAGGAAGGAGAAGUCGUAACA
rnacentral:rRNA from 1 species